rnacentral:lncRNA from 1 species
GCGCCACCAGGCUGGCCCCUCUAUUGAUUUUAAUGGAAAAAUUUUGAUGCAUUUCAUCCUGAUCCAAGAUAUGCAUUUCAUCCUAUCUAAAAUGCCCUAAACAGUACCCAUAGAUAGAAAAAUAUAUUAAUUGAACAAAAAUAAGUUUAUGUAACAAACAGCAAUUAGAAAGUAAGUAAGUUGAGUCUGUAGGUAAAAUGUAAAGAAGUUUACAGCACUUACCGAAGGAGGAAGGAAGGAGGAAGAAAGACUUGAUAGUGGGGGGGCUGGCGCAGAAGGGGUUCUUCGGAAGACACAGCCUUCUUUCCGCACCGUUCAACCAUUUCUCAACAUUUAGGGGGUUCACGGUUAUCUUGCAUCCAAACUUCACUACAAAUAAAGUUAUAUCACAGAAAAUACGUUGAGGGCACAAUAAAAGUAAAUACGUGAGUCGUUCAAAAGGUGUAAAACCAGUGCGUGCGCACAGCCCACUGACGAGUCACGGGACAUGCUUCCUCCUCCUUCCUCCACUGCGCAGUGUGCUUCGGGUUCAUCCCCACGCGGCAGCGACUCCUCUUCCUUCCAUGUGAUGUUCUCGGCCUAGAAACUGCUGUGCCGAGUAAUAAGCUGGUGACUGUGUCAUUAGCGAACGUCUGUGUGCGGGCUGCGGGUGUAGCUGAGGGGCCGGGGCAGGAAGAAGCAGCACCCAGGCCUCCUUACAGGGUCUCACUGGGUAACAGUGAGCGGAGUCCUUCCGGCCGCGGGGGAGCCCGGACUGCAGACAAGCCUCCGCACACCCCGCCUCCCGGGCAGGGCCCAGGGCCCAAACUCCCUCCUGUGUUCUCCUUCAGCCGGAUUUGAGGGACUCGGGUGUGUCUGGGCUGAAAGUGUUAGAGCUUCCACCAAGCUGCUGUGGAUGUCCCCAGUCGGCGUUCGCUUGUGACUCUUAAAGAAACAGGCCUGAGGCCCGCUCUGACGGCCAGAGUCAGCUUAAGGGCUUGUUUCGUUCCGGGAGGAAUCGAGUCGCGUUGGGCAGUGAACACCCCCUGGGAGAAAGAACAGGACGCUUCACCUGUG